AGGAAGUGGACUGCUGUGACCUCUCUGGUCCCCUUUCAUCUCCAACUCUUUUGAUUCCGUACGUGUGCGGUGCCCUCUGCCACUUGCCUUGGGCGAGGUUACAUUUUCUAGUGCAACAAUGGGAUUGUUCAGAAGGUCUUGGCAGUAGUUCCUGUGUUAACAGUAAAACACUAGAAUGUCUUUCCUUCGCACGUCAGGAGACAGGAUCUUCAUCCUCUCAGUUUUCUCCCAUCAAGUUAAGUUUCUCCCAGUCAGUUGUCAGUGGGUGUGAAUGGAAGGAAGCAUAAGAGGAAAUCUGCUGGUCCAUGACGUGAAAUCAUUUGCCUUAAGUGACUUGGCAAUAGCCCUGUGGGUCUCAGAGCAGGAAGGGAUGAGUUUCCCAAGGCCAGAUCUUAUGUGAUCUCAGCUUGUGUGCCUGAGCAGUCUAUUCUGUAACCUGUAACAUCCUGCCCGUGACGUGUGGACUCACUCCAUCUACUCGACUGGCUGAGAUGGUGACUCCUACUUCUACUUCUCCGAAAAGCCAGAGGGUUCUCGAAGCCAGGCUGGGUUCUCUCCAGAUGUGUGAACUGUAGAGCGUCGGCCAAAGAUGGAGCCUUGGAGGGCGCGGCGCAGAGCAUGCUGCAGUGAGUUGGUGCUGCUUCAAGAGGCCAGCCCUGGUGUUGGACUCUAGCUGGUGCCCAGGAAAGAACAGCGCUCACCUGGUCUCUCUCAGCUGCACUGGCUUGGCCAGGAAGACUGCAUUAA